AUGAAAAGACUCAACCGAAAAAAUAACAACAUCUGUGGGGAUACAAAUACCUCAGGGUAAAACUGAGGUACUCGAAUUGUGUAGGGAAAGCAAUUUCACUGAGGAUGAAGAACGGUGAAGAAUGAAGAUACUGUAGUUUUGACGCUGACUCAUGAGGGGGUGGAUGAAGAACGGGAAAGCAAUUUACCUAUUCGUGUGCCAUGUGCUUGUCAUUAUUGUUAUUCUAGUUUGACGCUGAUUCGUGAGGGGGUGGAUGCAGAACGGUGAAGAAUGAAGAUACUGUAGUUUUGAUUCUCGGUGGCGAAAAGGUUGCUGCUAAUCGCUCACUCAGAGGUGGUGAGAAGCAAAUGCGAUUUCGGAGGCUUUUAUCUUCGUGGUUGAAAAGAUCGAACGAAACAUCAAUUCAGAGGUUAUGUGAGCAUUCAGUUAUGUAAGUUGAGAGAUUUAAACAUGGUUAUUGAAGAGGAUCGAGAAACAGUUAGGGAGGGUUUUGCACGGGUUGCAGAAUGGAGAGGAUAGAAGGUGAUGAAGUGGAAUGUGAUUUUGAGGGUUAAGUGAGGGAAUGAAUGAAUGAUUUUAUUUUUUGAAGAAGAUAGAAGGUUGAGUCUGUAUUGACCAUGUAAGAGCAUUCACCAAUGAUUGGUUUGCCAAUGAAUUUGCUUGGACUCUAUAGUGAAGUAAAACUCUCUUUUCAUGAGAUUGCAAUGGGUCUGUCAUACCAAUUACUGAUGUGAGCUAUUUUGUAGGGUAACAUUAUAUGCUGAAGUUUGGAAUGCACUAAAUUUUGUGAAGACUUAACGCCGUUAGUGUUAAAACAUAAGCAUGGAAUAGUCUAUGUUCGACUUGUUCAUGGUACAUCAUGGCGCUGAAUGAGAAAGCUUGGAACAUGGUGGACGGUCGGGGUUUUAAUGAUGCUGCCAGUUCGUAGAGUGCGCGGUUGCCAUGAGUAGAGGUGGUUUGGCCUUGAAAGGCUCACUAGUUUUUUGGAGUUUUAAAAAUGGUAUGAUGUUUGACACUGCGGAAUUGGUAUUGCAUAUGGGUUUUCAGUUGGAAGUUCGUGGUUUUGAAGAUUUUCACAUCGCCAUUUUGAGCUGUUGCGUGUUGGUUGUAGCUUCCCGCAUUUCAGCAUAAACUUUAGUAUCAAACAGUAUCUCAAUCUCUGGUUGAAGUUCUCUUAUUAUCUCAUACAUGUCGAGAAGAACAAAUAGUUUUUCAGGUUCUGAAUUAUUUGCACUGAUGAGAUUUCUGCCAAUGCUAAAGGGCUUGCAUACAUGAUCGGUUACAUCAAGUUUUCAACAAUAUGAAAUGUCGUAUUUCAAGCGGCACUACGACAAUAGCUAGAUCUGCUUCACUUUGAUGGUUUGAUAUGUGUUGAUGUGGAAUCCAAACAAUUUAUGGCUUGAUAUAAUUGGAAUGAAUUGGCUUUAUAUGAUUAUAAUAUGGUUGGAAUUGGUAAUGAAAUGUAAUAUGGUUUGAACUGGUAAUGAAAUGUAGCAUGGUCUGAAUUGGUAAUGAAAUGUAACAUGGUUUGAAGUCAGUGAAAAAGGUUGUUGCAUUGGCAGCAGGAAAAAGUUCUUGUCUU